CUCGUAAUACAAGGUGUGACUGAGAGGAGGAUGACUACUAUUAGCCGCUAAUGAAUACCAAUUACGAAACGUUUGGCUGCGGAUUGGACAUCAACGAUCUGUUAUCGACUGUUAACAUUGCCGAGGAACGUUGUCGCAUACGUUUCUACCCAUACGAACAGGAAAUUAUGCGUAAUUUCCAUUGAGAAGGCCAAAGAAGCGACUUGCUAUCAAGUUGCACGACGCCGCUUUCGUGUUCUCUUCUUUCAAUUCAGAAACACGUUCCCGGCGACCGUGAGGCAUAGUAACACGAUUUCUUCCCCGAUUCGAUCGAACAUUCGUGACUCAUUGUUCGCUGGCAUAUCGAUCCAUCGUGAGCCAGCCACGAUCCCAAAAAGAAAUCGAAGAUUGUGGGAAUAAUAGUGAUAAUAUCAAUUCUAUUCAUGGAAAUCGUGCAUACAAAUGAAGAAGAAUUUUUCUGGAAUUCAAGUAACACGCUACAAGCUCUUUCCGAUUGUCCGUUCUCGACGCUGGCUAUCAUUUACAAACUGGUUGCGUUGAACGAAAAGCUGACCGAAACAGAAGCAAAAGGAGAGAAGGAUCGAACAACGCGUAGAAACGGAUUCUCGGCGACGGCAAAAUGGAAAGGAUCCCGAUACGAUUAAUCGUGCAUCCUAGGAUUUAACGAUAACGAGCUGCUUAGUAAACACAGCUUGACCCGUGUCAGCCUACACAGCCGGGCAAAAUUAUGAAGCUUAAACGGAUCUAACGGCUAACGAAUUCUCGUCACGAAUACGCACAGCGUCUCACAUUUUAUCUCCGCACGCCACGGCCCGCAGAUUUGUUCGCCGUUCUACCAACUUAUACGAAACUAAGUUAAAACAUGUGAAUCGUAAGACUGCCAUACCAAAUGAGUAAUUGAUCUAGUCUGCUUCCUAGCAUUAAAAGAAAUUUUAUCGCAUAAGACGAUCAAACCGUAGGAGUAAUGACCUUUCGCAAAAACGGGAGAUGUCCAAAAAUCGCGGGGACAGUUAACUGUUUCCAGUAAAAUCUGAACUCUGAAUCGCGUGUCGAAAAACAAUUGCUGAGGUCAGUCGACGUGACUCACGGUAUUUCUACCAAAAAAAACCCGGAGAGCCCGAGAUCGGUUGCGGAUAUUUGAAUUUUAGGAUUACGUGGAUUCGCGUUGGUUUCGUCUGUUUUUUCUGACUCGUUCCACCGGAUUCGAAGGAAUCUUCCUCAUUGCGGAUAAUAAAAAGGACGACGAGUCCGGGCACUGGUCCCCGGGCAACCUGUGCCAUAAAAUUCACGCAAUAUCCAGACCGGCAUUGGACCAGGAAGAAAGCGUUGUCGCGCGGAAUCAUUCAAGAGCCUCGCGUACCUUGCCUGAAUAUCGGAAUGCACUCGCUGAUACGAUUCAGCGAAUGAUCACCGGGGAAGGCGCACGAUCUUGACCGGUCAUUCUAAAUCUCCUCCAAUAAGAAUCCAACCGACGGAUACGUCCUUGCGGCUCGUCUUCGACCCCGCUGACAGCUGCAAGGUGGAGGGGAAUUUUCAGCGGGAACGAGAGCGGCACACCGCGCCGCGCAGAAAAGAAACAAACGUGGACUUCCUGAGCAAGGAGUCCACCGCAGGGUCCUGCGCCCGUGUAAUUGGGGUCCUCCGCGAAGCUACUCCCUACGAACCAGAAUGGUGGUGGGGGAUGCCCUAUGUAAGCCCUCGAACCGACGAGGUCCAGGCCAUCCAGCAUCAGGACAUCGUACGCAAGGACUCGGACAUAAACGAGGUUCGCUGAAGGAUCACCUCGACGAUCAUCGCGAGCUCAUCCAGGACGUCGGGUUCACACGUUCUCCAGGGUGUUCUCAUAGAUACCG